rnacentral:rRNA from 1 species
GACGAACGCUGGCGGCGUGCCUAAUACAUGCGAGUCGAACGAAGCUGUCUUAACUGGUGCUUGCACCGACUUAAACAACUGAGUGGCGAACGGGUGAGUAACACGUGGGUAACCUGCCCAUCAGAAGGGGAUAACACUUGGAAACAGGUGCUAAUACCGUAUAAUAGUUUGACCCGCAUGGGUUGAAUUUGAAAGGCGCUUUUGCGUCACUGAUGGAUGGACCCGCGGCGUAUUAGCUAGUUGGUGAGGUAAUGGCUCACAAAGGCAACGAUCCGUAGCCGACCUGAGGGGGUGAUCGGCCACAUUGGGACUGAGACACGGCCCAAACUCCUACGGGAGGCAGCAGUAUGGAAUCUUCGGCAAUGGACGAAAGGCUGACCGAGCAACGCCGCGUGAGUGAAGAAGGUUUUCGGAUCGUAAAACUCUGUUGGUAAAGAAGAACAAGGGUGAGAUUAGAAAAGUUCACUCCUUGACGGUAUUUACCCAGAAAGCCACGGCUAACUACGUGCCAGCCGCCGCGGUAA